GGAAGGGGAGGAGGGGUAGUGGAGGCAGCCGCCGGCCUCGAGGCACCCCUGCACGAGGUCGGCGUCCAUGGCGAGAGGUGUGGGUGGAGUGCGGAGCGGGAGGGACUGGAGGAUGGAGGAGGAGGCGGCGGCAGAGAUGGAUGUGGGGAGGGAGGGGAGGAGGAGUAGUGGAGGCAGCCGCCGGCCUCGAGGCAGCGCUGCACGAGGUCGGCAUCCAUGGCGAGAAGUGCGGGUGGAGUGCGGACGAAGGAAGGAAGGGGCGACGACAGACAGGGGUCGCGGCUUGCUUGGGAUGUUGGAGCCGCCGCUGCUGCAUGCUUCGCGUGUGGGACUGGACUGACUCUCUC
rnacentral:lncRNA from 1 species